ACUACAUCUCAUGCCAUCCAUCAGAUAGAUAGAUAGAAUCGGAGGAUGAAACCCUCUUUAUUAGUCACAUACAUGCACACAGCAGAGCACACACAGUGAACUGGGACCUCUCCAAGUAGCAGUCCACCUUCCAUGUUUUUUCAAGUCUGUUCGGGGACUUGAACCGGUGACCCUACGAUUCCCAGUCCAAGCCCCUACUGACUGAGCCACUGCUGGACACUGAUGAAGA